rnacentral:rRNA from 1 species
GACGAAUGCUGGCUGCGUGCUUAACACACGCAAGUCGAACGGUGAAGGAGGGCUUGCCCUCCGGAUCAGUGGCAAACGGGUGAGUAACACGUGGGCAACCUGCCCCUCACUCUGGGAUAACGCCGGGAAACCGGCGCUAAUACCGGAUACGACCAGGCGCGACAUCUCGCCUGGUGGAAAGAAUUUCGGUGAGGGAUGGGCCCGCGGCCUAUCAGCUAGUUGGUGGGGUAACGGCCCACCAAGGCGACGACGGGUAGCCGGCCUGAGAGGGCGACCGGCCACACUGGGACUGAGACACGGCCCAGACUCCUACGGGAGGCAGCAGUGGGGAAUAUUGCGCAAUGGGCGAAAGCCUGACGCAGCGACGCAGCGUGAGGGACGAAGGCCUUCGGGUUGUAAACCUCUUUCAGCGGGGACGAAGCGAAAGUGACGGUACCCGCAGAAGAAGCACCGGCUAACUACGUGCCAGCCGCCGCUGUAAUAC